GCUCAAACUGGGGGAAGGAUGUGCCCGACACGGGCACGGAAACAGUCAGCGAAGGGACGGCCGGCAGGGUCAGAGGCCGCAUGUUCUACACAUGCCAAGCGUCAGGCAGACAGCUGGAAGAUGGGAAUGGGGAUGGGGAUGGGGAUGAGGAUGAAGACUGCUGGCUGCUCUCUCUAUCCCUCUCUCUCUCUCUCUCUCUCUCUCUCUCUCUGUCUCAGAGCAUUCAUUGAUUUUGCGAGACUUUUUGUUGUUGUUGCUAUUUUGCCUUUGCCAUUGCCAUUUCCUGUGCUGUGCUAAACCAAUAACCGAGCAACUUUUGACAUGUCCUGUGCCUGUGCCUGUGCCUCUGAAUUGCGUCCUAAUUGUGCCACUCAGUGUGUGUGUCUGCCUCUAUCUUUAUCCCAAACUCAUCUCUGGUUAACCCGAGUGUCAACGAAUUCGAACGCUUGGGUUGAUGCCUCUGCAAGCCACUGGCAAUCAAUCAAUCAAUC
rnacentral:lncRNA from 1 species